rnacentral:misc_RNA from 1 species
AACGCACAUUGCGCCCAUUAGUAUUCUAGUGGGCAUGCCUGUUCGAGCGUCAUUUCAACCCUUAAGCCCCUGUUGCUUAGUGUUGGGAGCCUACAGUCCUCUGUAGCUCCCUAAAGUUAGUGGCGGAGUCGGUUUGCACUCUAGACGUAGUAGCUUCUAUCUCGUCUAUAGUUAGGCCGGUCUCUCGCCGUAAAACCCCCUAAUUUUUUCAAGGUUGACCUCGGAUCAGGUAGGAAUACCCGCUGAACUUAA